GGAAGGGAAUCGCAUCCGGUGGUGCGCCUGGACUUCAAAUCCAGUGAGGGGCGUUAGACGUCCCUGGUGGGUUCGACUCCCACUCUCUUCCGCCA
rnacentral:tRNA from 1 species